GACGAACGCUGGCGGCGUGCUUAACACAUGCAAGUCGAACGGAAAGGCCCUGCUCUUGUGGGUUGCUCGAGUGGCGAACGGGUGAGUAACACGUGAGUAACCUGCCCUUGUCUUUGGGAUAACUCCAGGAAACUGGGGCUAAUACCGGAUAGGAGCUCCUGCUGCAUGGUGGGGGUUGGAAAGUUUCGGCGGUUGGGGAUGGACUCGCGGCUUACCAGCUUGUUGGUGGAGUAGUGGCUUACCAAGGUUUUGACGGGUAGCCGGCCUGGGAGGGGGACCGGCCACAAUGGGACUGAGAGACGGCCCAGUCGGCAACGGGAGGCAACAGUGGGGAGUAUGACGGAGUGGGCGGGAGCCAGAGACAGCGGCGCCGCGUGCGGGAUGACGGCCUACGGGUGAUGAACCGCUUUCGCCGGAAACGAAGCGGGAGUGACGGUAAUGGGUAAGAAAGCACCGGCUAACUACGUG
rnacentral:rRNA from 1 species